rnacentral:rRNA from 1 species
AGGACGAACGCUGGCGGCGUGCUUAACACAUGCAAGUGGAGCGACGAACCAGGGCUUGCCCUGGGGCAGAGCCGCGAACGGGUGAGUAACACGUGGGUUACCUGCCUCGAUGACCGGGACAACCCGAGGAAACUCGGGCUAAUACCGGAUGUGCCCGCAAGGGGAAAGGAAGCUUCGGCCUCCGCAUUGAGAUGGGCCCGCGGCCCAUUAGCUUGUUGGUGAGGUAACGGCUCACCAAGGCUUCGAUGGGUAGCUGGUCUGAGAGGACGAUCAGCCACACUGGGACUGAGACACGGCCCAGACUCCUACGGGAGGCAGCAGUGGGGAAUCUUGCGCAAUGCGCGAAAGCGUGACGCAGCAACGCCGCGUGGGGGAAGAAGGCUUUCGGGUGUAAACCCCUUUCAGUUGGGACGAAGCUUCGGCAGUGAAUAGCUGUUCGGAGUGACGGUACCUUCACAAGAAGCACCGGCUAACUACGUGCCAGCAGCCGC